rnacentral:rRNA from 1 species
UCCUACGGGGCGCAGCAGUGGGGAAUAUUGGACAAUGGGGGCAACCCUGAUCCAGCGACGCCGCGUGUGUGAAGAAGGCCUGCGGGUUGUAAAGCACUUUUAGUGGGGAUGAAAAGCUCAGGGCUAAUACCUCUGGGUCUUGACCUAACCCACAGAAAAAGCACCGGCUAACUCUGUGCCAGCAGCCGCGGUAAUACAGAGGGUGCGAGCGUUAAUCGGAAUUACUGGGCGUAAAGCGUGCGUAGACGGUUACGUAAGUCGGAUGUGAAAUCCCCGGGCUCAACCUGGGAAUUGCAUUCGAGACUGUGUAGCUGGGGUGCGGAAGAGGGAAGCGGAAUUUCCGGUGUAGCGGUGAAAUGCGUAGAUAUCGGAAGGAACAUCAGUGGCGAAAGCGGCUUCCUGGUCCAGCACCGACGUUCAGGCACGAAAGCGUGGGGAGCAAACAGGAUUAGAUACCCUGGUAGUCU